CUCCUUUUUACUCUAUUUUAUUUCUAUUUCCAAAUCAAUUCCCUUUUUUAACUAAUAUUUUUAGGGCUCUGAAAUUUAAUUUUCUUGUUUUAUUGGGUGGAAUAGGCAAUGUGUAUUUAUUUAUAUAUAGCUUUUGCCUCAAUAAAAAGAAAGCACUCUUUUGGAUUCUUGAUUGUGCAUAAAGGUCCCAACUUAUAUAGAUUUGUUUGAUAUAGAUUUUGAUAAUUGAUUUUUUGACGUAAAGCAUGUUCUACCUGUGAGAAAAGAAUUCAAAAAUGACGGUUGAACUAGUGAAAUAACGGUAAAAAAAAAUAUUCUAAUUGACUUUUAAUCCGUGACAAACAACACCAUGUUUAUCCACCUUAGAUUACUGAGAUAAUGUUUUGUAACGUAAAAUUAGUGUUAAUCUGUGUGACCAAUGUAUUUAUUAGUAAUUGUCAUUUCAAAUGAGAAAUCAUAUUUUAGUAAAAAGUUAGAUUUUUAGUGGAUUUUGAUAAAAGUCUAUAAGAUGUGAAGGUGAAAAGAUGAUAAAAAUUGUGGGUACAUGA
rnacentral:lncRNA from 1 species